AUUCUUUUACAGAGCCUCCAAAACCAGUGACUACAGUCCAGAGUAAAUAUUCUUUCACAGAGUCUCCAAAACCAAUGACCCAAGUCCAAAAUAAAUCUGUUUCCCAGAAUGAAACCGAUGUGAUGACCUUUGACUUUAGGACAACUGGGCUUUACAUUCUAGCCCCCUCA